AGCUCAUCUUUCCUCAGAACUUAGGAGUUGUUAAACGAUAGAAAACUUUAUCUUGAACCUUAAAGUUGCAAUCAGUAUUUAUAAGUACUAAUGUGUCAGUCUUUUCAGCGGGACUUUGUUCACGAGUAUGACAAAAGCAAAUUGCAUGAGCUUCUAGAUCAUAAAGCGGAAACCGACGAGUUGAAGGCUAGCACUGGUUUUCUUCAAUUGGGUUUGAUCUGCACCCAUUCCUCUGCCAAACAGAGAUUAGAAAUGUUCACAGUUUUAACUCAAAUUGAUGCCAUAAUUGCCACUCAAAAAAUCACCUCAAGGGCCCAACAAAACCUUCAUUUAAUGCAGAUGAAUACAUUCACACCUUCAAAUCCUUAUGAAAUGCAACUCAUGCAUGAUUUCUUAAGGCAACAGCAUCGCCUAUCGAUACCCUCACCUUCACCCUCCACAAGAUCCAGUAGUCCAGGAACUGUAAACGCUCCGCAAAGACGAAGCUCCUCACCUGCUAAACUGACUCAUGUUCAGGGAACCAUUUUCGAAGAAGCAGCACCACUCAAACCAGACGAUGGAGUCAGCAUGCCUACCAAUAUGCUACUUCAACGAAGAACAAUUACUCCGCCGAACACCAAUGCUUCACUUCAACGCAAGUCUGGAGUUGCUUCAAUGGAGCAAAGUCCUCGCAUGCCCCUCUCAGUCACUGUCGAUAGCUCUCUGUCUCAGAACUCAAGUGUCCCUGCAUCCAAUCUACCUGCAUCGAGUCUCCCUACUUCCAGUCCCCUUGUAGCGAGUAUACCUGCAUCUAGUCUACCCACAAUUAGUCACCCAGCAUCCAGUUUGCCUGCAUUUAGUCUUCCAGCAUCAAGUGGCUCGAUUCAGAAAUCAGAGCCUCCGGUUUCCAGUGCAAAUCAAGCACCAGUAUCAAGCGAUAUUGAAGCAAAAGUAAGUUCCUCUGCCCCAACUACGUUUAGGGUGAUCGAGGCACUCUGUGGUAAAGGGGUGUAUGGCGUUCUUUCCCUUUUUUGCAGAGAAUGAAUUUUCUAAAUCCUUACAAUGUUGCCUUUCAAUAAUACAUCGUUGUCAAUUAAUGCAUUUUGAAAAAAGCUUUCUUCUUACAGAGUGCCCAUUUUCCAAAUCCAUACGAUUUUAUCUAUCUAAAAAUAGAUAGUUUGUACACGGUUGUAGGCAAAAUAA
rnacentral:lncRNA from 1 species